AACGAACGCUGGCGGCAUGCCUAACACAUGCAAGUCGAACGAGACCUUCGGGUCUAGUGGCGCACGGGUGCGUAACGCGUGGGAACCUGCCCUUGGGUUCGGAAUAACUCUCCGAAAGGGGUGCUAAUACCGGAUAAUGUCUUCGGACCAAAGAUUUAUCGCCUUUGGAGGGGCCGGCGUUGGAUUAGCUAGUUGGUAGGGUAAAAGCCUACCAAGGCGACGAUCCAUAGCUGGUCUGAGAGGAUGAUCAGCCACACUGAGACUGAGACACGGCCCAGACUCCUACGGGAGGCAGCAGUGGGGAAUGGAGGACAGUGGGCGAAAGCCUGAUCCAGCAAUGCCGCGUGAGUGAUGAAGGCCUUAGGGUUGUAAAGCUCUUUUACCCGGGAUGAUAAUGACAGUACCGGGAGAAUAAGCUCCGGCUAACUCCGUG
rnacentral:rRNA from 1 species